rnacentral:misc_RNA from 1 species
AAGAGAUCAUGCCCUCACGGGUAGACCUCCCACCCUUUGUAUACUAUACUCUGUUGCUUUGGCGAGCCUGCCCGGCUCACGCUGGGCUCCCGGCCUUCGGGCGGGGCCGCGCUCGCCAGGGGACCUAAAACUCUGAAUUAUAAUGCCGUCUGAGUACUAUAUAAUAGUUA